GCUCUUCUAAGUGUGGCUGAUUGUUGAGU
rnacentral:piRNA from 1 species